rnacentral:rRNA from 1 species
GGGAAACAACCCAGACCGCCAGCUAAGGUCCCAAAGUCAUGGUUAAGUGGGAAACGAUGUGGGAAGGCCCAGACAGCCAGGAUGUUGGCUUAGAAGCAGCCAUCAUUUAAAGAAAGCGUAAUAGCUCACUGGUCGAGUCGGCCUGCGCGGAAGAUGUAACGGGGCUAAACCAUGCACCGAAGCUGCGGCAGCGACRCUAUGYGUUGUUGGGUAGGGGAGCGUUCUGUAAGCCUGYGAAGGUGUGCUGUGAGGCAUGCUGGAGGUAUCAGAAGUGCGAAUGCUGACAUAAGUAACGAUAAAGCGGGUGAAAAGCCCGCUCGCCGGAAGACCAAGGGUUCCUGUCCAACGUUAAUCGGGGCAGGGUGAGUCGACCCCUAAGGCGAGGCCGAAAGGCGUAGUCGAUGGGAAACAGGUUAAUAUUCCUGUACUUGGUGUUACUGCGAAGGGGGGACGGAGAAGGCUAUGUUGGCCGGGCGACGGUUGUCCCGGUUUAAGCGUGUA